rnacentral:rRNA from 1 species
AAUCAACGCUGGCGGCGUGCCUCAGACAUGCAAGUCGAACGCGAAAGUUCCCUUCGGGGAGCGAGUAGAGUGGCGUCCGGGUGAGUAACACGUAGGUAAUCUACCUUUGGGUGGGAAUAACAACCGGAAACGGUUGCUAAUACCGCAUAAUGCAGCGGCACCGCAUGGUGACAGUUGUUAAAGCGGGGGAUCGCAAGACCUCGCGCCUAAAGNGGAGCCUGUGGCGGUAUUAGCUAG